GACGAACGCUGGCGGCGUGCUUAACACAUGCAAGUCGAACGGAAAGGCCCUGCUUUUGUGUGGUGCUCGUGUGGCGAACGGGUGAGUAACACGUGAGUAACCUGCCCCUGACUUUGUGAGAACUUCUGGAAACUGGGGCUAUUACCGGAUAGGAGCUCCUGCUGCAUGGUGGGGGUUGGAAAGUUUCGGCUGUUGGGGAUGGACUCGCGGGUUAUCAGCUUCUUGGUGGGGUAGUGGCUGACGAAGGGUUUGACGGAUAGCCGGCCUGAGAGGGGUGACGGCGACAAUGGGACUACGGUAGGGCCCAGAAGGGUACGUGAGGCAGCAGGCGGGAGUAUUACAGAACGGGGGGAAGUCAGAGGCAGAAACGCCGCGUGCGGGAUGGUGUCCUUCGGGUGGUGAACCGCUGUGGACGGAGACGAAGCGUGAGUGACGGUAAUGGGUAAAGAAGCACCGGCUAACUACGUG
rnacentral:rRNA from 1 species